rfam:Schleiferia thermophila str. Yellowstone contig00001, whole genome shotgun sequence.
UGAAUUGUGGACAGAUUUGUGCUGAUUGCAACCACAUUAAAAAAUGCUAAAACAGUAACU